GACAGAGUAGAUCAAGUGACAGAGUAGAUCAAGCUUGAUCUACUCUGUCACUUGAUCUACUCUG
rnacentral:pre_miRNA from 1 species